CAGGUGGGAUUUGUUCAGCUCACAGGUUAUUUGCCUCUUCUCUUCUGCCUGGGCACUGCCAAAGAAAAAAGGAGAUUGUAGCAAUUCACUGGACCCAGAACCUAGUUGAGGGAGCAUUGUGACAUGCCACUGGGCUCAGCACCCAGGUGAUGUUCCUCUCCUGCCUGGUCCCUUCCAUCAGGGAAUAUUGUACAAAUCUCUGGCCAAGCACCCAGUUGAUGUGA
rnacentral:lncRNA from 10 species